rnacentral:rRNA from 1 species
CCUACGGGAGGCUGCCGUGGGGAAUAUUGGGCAAUGGGCGCAAGCCUGACGCAGCAAUGCCGCGUGAAGGAAGAAGGCUUUCGGGUUGUAAACUUCUUUUAUGAGGGACGAAAGAAAUGAUGGUACCUCAUGAAUAAGCAACGGCUAACUACGUGCCAGCAGCCGCGGUAAUACGUAGGUGGCAAGCGUUAUCAGGAUUUACUGGGGGUAAAGGGCGUGUAGGGGGGACUGAAAGUCAGAUGUGAAAAUUAUGGGCUCAACCCAGAACCUGCAUUUGAUACUGUGGUGCUUGAGUGAUGGAGGGAGAGGUAGAAUUCCGUGUGUAGCGGUGAAAUGCGUAGAGAUACGGAGGAACACCAGGGGCGAAGGCGGCCUGUUGGACAUUAACUGACGCUGAGGCGCGAAAGCGUGGGGAGCAAACAGGAUUAGAUACCCCGGUAGUC